rnacentral:rRNA from 1 species
UACGUAGGGGCUAGCGUUGUCCGGAAUUACUGGGCGUAAAGGGCGCGCAGGCUGUUAUGCGAGUCUGCUGUGAAAUGUACCGGCUCAACCGGUGCCUUGCGGCGGAUACUGCAUAGCUGGAGUACUGGAGAGGGAAGUGGAAUUCCCGGUGUAGCGGUGAAAUGCAUAGAUAUCGGGAGGAACACCGGUGGCGAAGGCGGCUUUCUGGCCAGUUACUGACGCUCAUGCGCGAAAGCUGGGGUAGCGAACCGGAUUAGAUACCCCGGUA